rnacentral:rRNA from 1 species
CCCUUAGAUGUUCUGGGCUGCACGCGCGCUACACUGAAGCUAUCAACACGUUUUCCCUCCCUGAGAAGGGCGGGUAACCUUUUGAAUCAGCUUCGUGGUAGGGAUCGGGGCUUGCAAUUGUUCCCCGUGAACCAGGAAUUCCUAGUAGACGCGAGUCAUAAGCUCGCAUCGAUUAAGUCCCUGCCCUUUGUACACACCGCCCGUCGCUACUACCGAUUGAACGUUUUAGUGAGGCAUUUGGACCGAUGCAUCUCAGUUUAACCGCUGGUUUGUGUUGGAAAGACUUCCAAACUUGAGCGUUUAGAGGAAGUAAAAGUCGUAACA